UUUUUUAUUUCUAUUCUAGAGUUAUUUAUGCCUCUUGCUCUUUUCUUAAUUGAUUCUGCAAUGCACGUUUUCUUUUUAAUAUUUGGGUGUUAAAUUUCUUGGUUCCGUCCAAAUUGCCUCUCAAAGAACAUUCUCUGGGGUGGCUGCAUUUGGGAGAGUUGAGAGAGCUGCACUAGGGAUAUUGUUCUCGGGAUUUUUCCCUCUUCUCCUUCGCCCUCUUGUGCUUUUGGCUCUUUUGUUAACUGAUUUUGCAUAUGCAUAUAUUUAUUUAUUGUUCUGUGUUAAUUUCGUAGCAGUCAAAUUUAUUAAGAUGAACGCAAUGAGAAUAGAGGAAGGCUCUGUGAAGUGUGAACAAAAUCUCCAAAGGGAAUGUGUGUCUACUGCAUUGUGAGUCUGAUGGAUGGAUUUUGCAUUCGUGCUAGAUUCCACUGGGUUUACAUGAAGCUGUACAAUGGAGAAUACAACAAGUUACAGUUUAUCUACAAGCAAGCAUUUUUCAUGGCUUUUGCAACUGGUGUCGCUCUUAAUUCAUUAUCUUUUAAUGAGGGAUCUACUAUAUGCCAGUAAAAAAUGUAGAAUGGGUCGGGUACUUGCAUUAGAUUGUAUAUGCUUAAAAGUCCUUAUUAGGAUAGUAAAUGGGAGGGAGGAUGUAGGCCUAUAUAAUUUUGAUCCUUUUAUGCCAACUGAUCUGACUCCUAAUUUGAUUUUCUCUAUUUUAAAGGGAGUAAAGUUAUCAUUUAACUAUCUUCCCCUUCGUUAUAUCAGUUCUUAUGAAUUUUUAAAAACCUUUAUAGGGCGUGCGAGACAUUUUUCUAGAAAACUUAUUUGAAUAUGAAUCAUGCGGCAAGAAAGCUAAUGUUCAAUGCUGAUAGAGCAUGAUGACAGUUUUGUUGCUCUUGGUGGCUUAGCUGCAUUUCAUGAAAAAAGCUUGUCAUGUCUGUGAGAGAUAGAACUAAAGAAAAAAAAAAAGAAGUUAACAGCUCAUAAUCUCUUGGGUAUAUUGUGUAACAUUGUAAUUCUUCUAGUAGGCUACAAGAAUUUGUUUGUAAGAACUAAAUCAUUCAUUUGACGAAAAUUGAUUGCUCAGAAUCAACAGGAAGAUGUAUAGUUCAUUUAGAAAUGCUUACAAUUGAAGCAUGAUAGUGAUACUGGAAUCUAUGAUAGUGAAGGAAGGUGCAUGCUUAAUUCUUUCCUUUUCCUUACUAGAUUUCUCUACUGAUUGACUUAUGUUGGUUAAUGAUUUUGUCAGACUUUGCUUACAAGUCUGCUAAACUUAGAAACUUACAAAACCACCUUUUUUUUGUGAAGGCUUGGUCAUGAAAUUUUUGAGUUGAUAUUUUAGGGAGCAAGCACUGCCAAAUGGAAACCCCUUAACAACCCAAGAAUUGGAUGAACAUUUACUCAAGGCAAAGAUGGAGCCUAUAAACCCUUCGAUACAGACUGUUGCUUUAUCAGAGUGGAGUAAAUUCAUGCCCUAUAGCUGGUCAGAUGCGUGCCCCGUGUUGUCAAUUAAUGCAGUGUAUUGUCAAUCGGAGUUGUCAUACAAAAACGUCGUAACGCAUCUAAAAUUUGCGUUAUACAUCAACAUGAUUGACAACACAAUGCACGCGUUUGAUGCUAGCGAGUGUAAUAUAACGUAACUGACGAAUAAGCACCAACCACACAAAAUUGAGUUAUUAUGUCAUUUUUUAAUCAAUUUAGAGAUAUUAGUCGUAUUACAACGUUCUCUCCAGGAGACAUAUUCGAAGCAAUGAGUAGGACAUGGGAAUUUGGUGAAGAUUUGAAUACUUGAAUAACCCAAACGAGAGAUAUAAUCAACGUUACAACAAUAUGAUGACCACGAGUGGAAUUGGCGUGUUAGGGAGGCUGCAGCACUGGAACAAAACUUGAGGUCAUUAGGGCUUCAACGCCCAAAAAAUCGUGAUAUGUCAAUGCCUUGUGGCACUUCACAAGAGUUGAAUUUUGCUCUUAACCGUUUUUGUGAAGAGAACAAUCGGAUGAAAAUAUGUUGCCUCAAGGUAAACUAUGGUCAACAUGGUUACGUCAAAUUCAGAUCCAAGUGGGAUUCGAAUUGUGAGAUGUCCGAUUAUGAUGAUUCCCGAUGAUAUUAGUAAUAGUUGUAUUGUAUUAAAUAAAGUUGGUGGGGUCAUAAUCAUGAUCCCACAACCUAUUGAGUUUGAUACCUAUAUAAGUAGCCUUUUGCUACUUAGUAUCCACUUAAAAUUCAAUGUCGAAUAGUAGAAAUGUAGAUUGGUCGGUAUUUUUUCCACAGGAUUCGAAUAGCAGUGGUGAUGACAACUCAAAUCAAAGCAUCUAUUACGUUGAUUCCUCAACCGAUAACAGUGAAUUCGUGCUAGACGAUUUCAAGCCCCAUCUUGUAAUGGAGCGUAAUGACGAUUUUUCGCAAGCUGAAAUAUUCAGAUCCACAUGAAUAUCAUUGUGGUUUACGUCGCGAAUAGGCACAUCGGUACGCCGAAUCACAACGUCUUGUUCGUGACUUGAAAAAUCUCAACUCUCAAAUCCCAAUAAGGUUCUCAAUAACCAUGCCUCGAGUAGGUGCACACACUUGCGACCUUGCCAUACAAAGGAUUAGAAAAAGAAAAAAAAAAACAGAAUGCUAGCAAGACAUUGUAGGUUUCACAUGCUAAAGUUGGCCGAAGAACAAACAUCAUCAACCGGUAGGGAAUUAACAUCGACAAAAAGAAGAUCUGUCUUAACAAACCCAAGAUAUUCAUCUGAAGACGAUAUUGAAGACUUCAAUUCUUAUGAUGAUUAAGAAUAUUGUGAUUUUAGUUAUAUGUUUAAUUUAUGAUGAUGUUGUUAAUUUGAAGAAUAUUAGUAUGUUUAGUUUUACAUCAACUCAAGGGUAUGAAUUGAUGAAUAUAUUUUAAGUUUUUUUUUUCUUUGAUGAUUGUAUUUUAACAAGUUUGAAUUUGUUAUUAAUGAGCAAGUUUAAGUAUUUUCAUAUUAUUAU